UAUCUCUGUAGAGUCUGCAUAUCAAUAAGCGGAGGAAAAGAAACUAACUAGGAUUCCCUCAGUAACGGCGAGUGAAGCGGGAAGAGCUCAAAUUUGAAAUCUUCAAGGUUCUACCUUGACGAAUUGUAGUUUAAAGAAGUGUUUUCUGUUGGAGUUUUGGUAAAAGUUCUUUGGAAUAGGACAUCAUAGAGGGUGAGAAUCCCGUAUUUGACCAUUACUUUCCAGCUUUGUGAUACACUUUCAAAGAGUCGGAUUGUUUGGGAAUGCAGUCCAAAAUGGGUGGUAAAUUUCAUCUAAAGCUAAAUACUUGGCGAGAGACCGAUAGCGAACAAGUACCGUGAGGGAAAGAUGAAAAGAACUUUGAAAAGAGAGUUAAACAGUACGUGAAAUUGUCAAAAGGGAAGCGUUUGACACCAGUGUUGUUUUCUCGAAAAUCAAUUAAAAAAGGCAGGAUUUUGUGUUGUAUUGACUUUAUCAGCUUUCUGCACUCUUUUCUUGUCUUUUUUAAUGCACUUUUCGUUUAACAAGUCAACAUCAAUUUCUUUUGUUGUAAAAGAGUCAUUGGAAGGUGGCUUUCACUUCGGUGAAAGUGUUUAUAGCCUUUGGCUUCUGCAAUCGGAGAGAUUGAGGUCUGCAGCGUAGAUCCUUCGGGGCUAGAUACGUAGAUGCUAAGUUAUAGUUUUUUAUAGACAACUUGUUGACUAUGAUUCAGUCAUGUAGCCUACUCGCUUAUGCCUAUUUUACCUACGCUUAGGAUGUUGAAGCAUCGUAUCGCGC
rnacentral:rRNA from 1 species